UACGUAGGGUGCGAGCGUUAAUCGGAAUUACUGGGCGUAAAGCGUGCGUAGGCGGUUCUCCAAGUCCGUUGUGAAAGCCCCGGGCUCAACCUGGGGAUGGCAGUGGAAACUAGGGGACUGGAAUCUGGCAGAGGGGGGUGGAAUGCCGCGUGUAGCAGUGAAAUGCGUAGAGAUGCGGCGGAACACCGAUGGCGAAGGCAGCCCCCUGGGCUGAGAUUGACGCUCAGGCACGAAAGCGUGGGGAGCAAACAGG
rnacentral:rRNA from 1 species